AUGCCUGCCCUGGGGUCGGCCAUGGCCGCACUCGGCUCGGGCCCCCCACCCCGGCUGUCGUGCCCCAGUUCAUCCCACCGCCGCCGCAGGCAAACGACAUCCCCCCUCCCCCCCCCCUCUUCACCCAGACACCAUGCCCGUUCUGUGCCAUGCGGCUACGGCGCAAUGCCCAGGCACUGGCCCAGAAGUUCCCCAGUGGGCCCCCCCAGGGCCCCUCUCCCCCCACUGCAGACUGUCGAGGCCCCCCGGCAACGCUCCGCCACCCCCCCACCCACCUCCCCCUCCUACCCUACCGCCUCCCCAGCAGCUCUCGGUGCCGACCCCUCCCCUCCCUCUCCCCCCCCCACCACCCCCCUCCUACCCCACCGCCUCCCCAGCACGGUCUGGUGCCAACACCCCCCUCCCCCCCCCACCUCCUCCCCCUCCUACCCCACUGCCUCCCCAGCAGGUCUCGGUGCCGACACCCCCUCCUCCUCCUCUCCCCACCACCUCCCCCUCCUACCCCACCGCUUCCCCAGCAGGUCUCGGUGCCGACACCCCCUUUCCUCCCCCCCUCCUCAGCAGCAGUACUCGCCCGCAGCUGCCCCCCCCCCUGCCCUACCCAAAACCUUCUCCCCAGGUUUCUGCUCCACCAUGGUGGCGGAAGCCUCCCUACGCAGUUUCCCCUCCCCUCCCAUCCCACCUGCUGCCCCAACUCCUCCCCCACCACCCCUCCGCCGGUGUCCAAUGAAGAAGCAGCACAGCCUACAGAUAGGCCACACCCCCAACCAGCCCCCUCCCACAUUUCCCAAGCAGCACAGCCUUCCAAGCCGCCACCCCUGUCCUUCACGGCUCCGCCCACCACCACCUCCCUGGUCAAACAGAUGGCGCCAGUUCCCAGGGUCCACACUGUCUACCAAUCACACUGAGAGCCCCAAAGCCCCCCUGUCUCCUCCUGCGGUGAAGGCCAACCAAGAUGGCAGCCAGGUGGUGACAGGCCCAGCAACAGGCCCCAGAGUUCCCUCCACCCCCUUCUGA
ensembl:lncRNA